GCAUAUCAAUAAGCGGAGGAAAAGAAACCAACCGGGAUUACCCUAGUAACGGCGAGUGAAGCGGUAAGAGCUCAAAUUUGAAAGCUGGCCCCUUCGGGGUCCGCAUUGUAAUUUGCAGAGGAUGCUUCGGGAGCGGUCCCCAUCUAAGUGCCCUGGAACGGGCCGUCAUAGAGGGUGAGAAUCCCGUAUGGGAUGGGGUGCCCGCGCCCGUGUGAAGCUCCUUCGACGAGUCGAGUUGUUUGGGAAUGCAGCUCUAAUUGGGUGGUAAAUUUCAUCUAAAGCUAAAUAUUGGCCGGAGACCGAUAGCGCACAAGUAGAGUGAUCGAAAGAUGAAAAGCACUUUGAAAAGAGAGUUAAAAAGCACGUGAAAUUGUUGAAAGGGAAGCGCUUGCGAUCAGACUCGCUCGCGGGGUUCAGCCGGCCUUCGGGCCGGUGUACUUCCCCGCGGGCGGGCCAGCGUCGGUUUGGGCGGCCGGUCAAAGGCCCCUGGAAUGUAACGCCUCUCGGGGCGUCUUAUAGCCAGGGGUGCCAUGCGGCCUGCCCGGACCGAGGAACGCGCUUCGGCUCGGACGCUGGCAUAAUGGUCGUAAGCGACCCGUCUUGAAACACGGACCAAGGAGUCUAACAUCUACGCGAGUGUUCGGGUGUCAAACCCGUGCGCGCAGUGAAAGCGAACGGAGGUGGGAACCCUUUGGGUGCACCAUCGACCGAUCCUGAUGUCUUCGGAUGGAUUUGAGUAAGAGCGUAGCUGUUGGGACCCGAAAGAUGGUGAACUAUGCCUGAAUAGGGCGAAGCCAGAGGAAACUCUGGUGGAGGCUCGCAGCGGUUCUGACGUGCAAAUCGAUCGUCAAAUUUGGGUAUAGGGGCGAAAGACUAAUCGAACCAUCUAGUAGCUGGUUCCUGCCGAAG
rnacentral:rRNA from 1 species